GAUGAACGCUAGCUACAGGCUUAACACAUGCAAGUCGAGGGGCAUCAUGACGAUAGCUUGCUAUUGUUGAUGGCGACCGGCGCACGGGUGAGUAACGCGUAUCCAACCUUCCCCUUAGUAGGGCAUAGCCCGGCGAAAGUCGGAUUAAUACCCUAUGUUAUUCGUAGAGGACAUCUGAAAUGAAUCAAAGAUUAAUCGCUAAGGGAUGGGGAUGCGUCCGAUUAGGUAGUCGGCGGGGUAACGGCCCACCGAGCCUUCGAUCGGUAGGGGUUCUGAGAGGAAGGUCCCCCACACUGGUACUGAGACACGGACCAGACUCCUACGGGAGGCAGCAGUGAGGAAUAUUGGUCAAUGGACGGGAGUCUGAACCAGCCAAGUAGCGUGCAGGACGACGGCCCUAUGGGUUGUAAACUGCUUUUAUACGGGGAUAAAGUCGCCCACGUGUGGGUGUUUGUAGGUACCGUAUGAAUAAGGACCGGCUAAUUCCGUGCCAGCAGCCGCGGUAAUACGGAAGGUCCGGGCGUUAUCCGGAUUUAUUGGGUUUAAAGGGAGCGCAGGCGGGAGCUUAAGCGUGACGUGAAAUGUAGCCGCUCAACGGCUGAGUUGCGUCGCGAACUGGGUUUCUUGAGUGAGUACGACGCGGACGGAAUUCGUGGUGUAGCGGUGAAAUGCUUAGAUAUCACGAAGAACCCCGAUUGCGAAGGCAGUCCGCGAGUCCUUUACUGACGCUAAAGCUCGAAGGUGCGGGUAUCGAACA
rnacentral:rRNA from 1 species